AUAUGGGGGGACCAUCCUCCAAGGCUAAAUACUCCUGACUGACCGAUAGUGAACCAGUACCGUGAGGGAAAGGCGAAAAGAACCCCGGCGAGGGGAGUGAAAAAGAACCUGAAACCGUGUACGUACAAGCAGUGGGAGCCUCUUAAUGGGGUGACUGCGUACCUUUUGUAUAAUGGGUCAGCGACUUAUAUUCUGUAGCAAGGUUAACCGAAUAGGGGAGCCGAAGGGAAACCGAGUCUUAACUGGGCGUUAAGUUGCAGGGUAUAGACCCGAAACCCGGUGAUCUAGCCAUGGGCAGGUUGAAGGUUGGGUAACACUAACUGGAGGACCGAACCGACUAAUGUUGAAAAAUUAGCGGAUGACUUGUGGCUGGGGGUGAAAGGCCAAUCAAACCGGGAGAUAGCUGGUUCUCCCCGAAAGCUAUUUAGGUAGCGCCUCGUGAAUUCAUCUCCGGGGGUAGAGCACUGUUUCGGCAAGGGGGUCAUCCCGACUUACCAACCCGAUGCAAACUGCGAAUACCGGAGAAUGUUAUCACGGGAGACACACGGCGGGUGCUAACGUCCGUCGUGAAGAGGGAAACAACCCAGACCGCCAGCUAAGGUCCCAAAGUCAUGGUUAAGUGGGAAACGAUGUGGGAAGGCCCAGACAGCCAGGAUGUUGGCUUAGAAGCAGCCAUCAUUUAAAGAAAGCGUAAUAGCUCACUGGUCGAGUCGGCCUGCGCGGAAGAUGUAACGGGGCUAAACCAUGCACCGAAGCUGCGGCAGCGACACUAUGUGUUGUUGGGUAGGGGAGCGUUCUGUAAGCCUGUGAAGGUGGCCUGUGAGGGUUGCUGGAGGUAUCAGAAGUGCGAAUGCUGACAUAAGUAACGAUAAAGCGGGUGAAAAGCCCGCUCGCCGGAAGACCAAGGGUUCCUGUCCAACGUUAAUCGGGGCAGGGUGAGUCGACCCCUAAGGCGAGGCCGAAAGGCGUAGUCGAUGGGAAACAGGUUAAUAUUCCUGUACUUGGUGUUACUGCGAAGGGGGGACGGAGAAGGCUAUGUUGGCCGGGCGACGGUUGUCCCGGUUUAAGCGUGUAGGCUGGUUUUCCAGGCAAAUCCGGAAAAUCAAGGCUGAGGCGUGAUGACGAGGCACUACGGUGCUGAAGCGACAAAUGCCCUGCUUCCAGGAAAAGCCUCUAAGCAUCAGGUAACAUCAAAUCGUACCCCAAACCGACACAGGUGGUCAGGUAGAGAAUACCAAGGCGCUUGAGAGAACUCGGGUGAAGGAACUAGGCAAAAUGGUGCCGUAACUUCGGGAGAAGGCACGCUGAUAUGUAGGUGAAGCGACUUGCUCGUGGAGCUGAAAUCAGUCGAAGAUACCAGCUGGCUGCAACUGUUUAUUAAAAACACAGCACUGUGCAAACACGAAAGUGGACGUAUACGGUGUGACGCCUGCCCGGUGCCGGAAGGUUAAUUGAUGGGGUUAGCGGUAACGCGAAGCUCUUGAUCGAAGCCCCGGUAAACGGCGGCCGUAACUAUAACGGUCCUAAGGUAGCGAAAUUCCUUGUCGGGUAAGUUCCGACCUGCACGAAUGGCGUAAUGAUGGCCAGGCUGUCUCCACCCGAGACUCAGUGAAAUUGAACUCGCUGUGAAGAUGCAGUGUACCCGCGGCAAGACGGAAAGACCCCGUGAACCUUUACUAUAGCUUGACACUGAACAUUGAGCCUUGAUGUGUAGGAUAGGUGGGAGGCUUUGAAGUGUGGACGCCAGUCUGCAUGGAGCCGACCUUGAAAUACCACCCUUUAAUGUUUGAUGUUCUAACGUGGGCCCCUUACCGGGGUUGCGGACAGUGUCUGGUGGGUAGUUUGACUGGGGCGGUCUCCUCCUAAAGAGUAACGGAGGAGCACGAAGGUUGGCUAAUCCUGGUCGGACAUCAGGAGGUUAGUGCAAUGGCAUAAGCCAGCUUGACUGCGAGCGUGACGGCGCGAGCAGGUGCGAAAGCAGGUCAUAGUGAUCCGGUGGUUCUGAAUGGAAGGGCCAUCGCUCAACGGAUAAAAGGUACUCCGGGGAUAACAGGCUGAUACCGCCCAAGAGUUCAUAUCGACGGCGGUGUUUGGCACCUCGAUGUCGGCUCAUCACAUCCUGGGGCUGAAGUAGGUCCCAAGGGUAUGGCUGUUCGCCAUUUAAAGUGGUACGCGAGCUGGGUUUAGAACGUCGUGAGACAGUUCGGUCCCUAUCUGCCGUGGGCGCUGGAGAACUGAGGGGGGCUGCUCCUAGUACGAGAGGACCGGAGUGGACGCAUCACUGGUGUUCGGGUUGUCAUGCCAAUGGCACUGCCCGGUAGCUAAAUGCGGAAGAGAUAAGUGCUGAAAGCAUCUAAGCACGAAACUUGCCCCGAGAUGAGUUCUCCCUGACUCCUUGAGAGUCCUGAAGGAACGUUGAAGACGACGACGUUGAUAGGCCGGGUGUGUAAGCGCAGCGAUGCGUUGAGCUAACCGGUACUAAUGAACCGUGAGGCUUAACCUUACAACGCCGAAG
rnacentral:rRNA from 1 species